rnacentral:rRNA from 1 species
UACGUAGGGUGCAAGCGUUAAUCGGAAUUACUGGGCGUAAAGGGCGCGCAGGCGGCUAUCCAAGUCAGGCGUGAAAGCCCCGGGCUUAACCUGGGAGGUGCGUCUGGGACUGGGUGGCUAGAGUUCGGGAGAGGAGAGUGGAAUUCCCGAGUGUAGAGGUGAAAUUCGUAGAUAUUGGGAAGAACACCGGUGGCGAAGGCGGCUCUCUGGACCGAGACUGACGCUGAGGCGCGAAAGCGUGGGGAGCAAACAGGG